rnacentral:rRNA from 1 species
AUUGAACGCUGGCGGCAGGCCUAACACAUGCAAGUCGAACGAGUGGCGGACGGGUGCGUAAUGUCUGGGAAACUGCCCGAUGGAGGGGGAUCACUACUGGAAACGGUAGCUAAUACCGCAUACCAUCGGAUGUGCCCCGAUGGGAUUAGCUAGUAGGUGGGGUAAAGGCUCACCUAGGCGACGAUCCCUAGCUGGUCUGAGAGGAUGACCAGCCACACUUGAACUGAGACACGGUCCAGACUCCUACGGGAGGCAGCAGUGGUGAAUAUUGCACAAUGGGCGCAAGCCUGAUGCAGCCAUGCCGCGUGUGUGAAGAAGGCCUUCGGGUUGUAAAGCACUUUCAGCGGGGAGGCGUUACCCGCAGAAGAAGCACCGGCUAACUCCGUGCCAGCAGCCGCGGUAAUAC